rnacentral:rRNA from 1 species
UACGUAGGGCGCGAGCGUUGUCCGGAAUUAUUGGGCGUAAAGAGCUCGUAGGCGGCUUGUCACGUCGGGUGUGAAAGACCGGGGCUUAACUCCGGUUCUGCAUUCGAUACGGGCUAGCUAGAGUGUGGUAGGGGAGAUCGGAAUUCCUGGUGUAGCGGUGAGAUGCGCAGAUAUCAGGAGGAACACCGGUGGCGAAGGCGGAUCUCUGGGCCAUUACUGACGCUGAGGAGCGAAAGCGUGGGGAGCGAACAGG